rnacentral:rRNA from 1 species
AAUAGAUACCCAGGUAGUCCACGCCGUAAACGAUGGGUACUAGGUGUAGGGGGUAUCGACUCCCCCUGUGCCGCCGUUAACACAAUAAGUACCCCGCCUGGGGAGUACGGUCGCAAGAUUAAAACUCAAAGGAAUUGACGGGGGGCCCGCACAAGCAGCGGAGCAUGUGGUUUAAUUCGAAGCAACGCGAAGAACCUUACCUAGACUUGACAUCUCCUGCAUUACUCUUAAUCGAGGAAGUUCUCCCUUCGGGGAGGACAGGAAGACAGGUGGUGCAUGGUUGUCGUCAGCUCGUGUCGUGAGAUGUUGGGUUAAGUCCCGCAACGAGCGCAACCCUUAUUGUUAGUUGCUACCAUUUAGUUGAGCACUCUAGCAAGACUGCCGUGGUUAACGCGGAGGAAGGUGGGGAUGACGUCAAAUCAUCAUGCCCCUUAUGUCUAGGGCUACACACGUGCUACAAUGGCGAGUACAAAAGCGCAAAGCCGCGAGGUGGAGCAAAACUUAUAAAACUCGUCUCAGUUCGGAUUGCAGGCUGAAACUCGCCUGC